ensembl:misc_RNA Metazoa_SRP Metazoan signal recognition particle RNA
GCUGGGUGUUGUGGCGAGCACCUGUAGUCCCAGCUACUGGGGAGGCUAAGGCAGGAGAAUCGUUUGAACCCGGGAGGCGGGGGUUGCAGUGAGGCAAGAUCGCACCACUGCACUCCAGCCUGGGUGACAGAGGGAGACUCUGUCUUA